rnacentral:rRNA from 1 species
UGGGGAAUAUUGCACAAUGGGCGAAAGCCUGAUGCAGCAACGCCGCGUGAGUGAUGAAGGUCUUCGGAUUGUAAAGCUCUGUCUUUUGGGACGAUAAUGACGGUACCAAAGGAGGAAGCCACGGCUAACUACGUGCCAGCAGCCGCGGUAAUACGUAGGUGGCGAGCGUUGUCCGGAUUUACUGGGCGUAAAGGGUGCGUAGGCGGAUGUUUAAGUGAGAUGUGAAAUACCCGGGCUUAACUUGGGUGCUGCAUUUCAAACUGGAUAUCUAGAGUGCAGGAGAGGAGAAUGGAAUUCCUAGUGUAGCGGUGAAAUGCGUAGAGAUUAGGAAGAACACCAGUGGCGAAGGCGAUUCUCUGGACUGUAACUGACGCUGAGGCACGAAAGCGUGGGUAGCAAACAGGAUUAGAUACCCUGGUAGUCCACGCCGUAAACGAUGAGUACUAGGUGUAGGAGGUAUCGACCCCUUCUGUGCCGCAGUAAAACACAUUAAGUACUCCGCCUGGGAAGUACGA